GUCCACGCCGUAAACGUUGGGCACUAGGUGUGGGGACCUAUCAACGGUUUCCAUGCCGUCGCUAACGCAUUAAGUGCCCCGCCUGGGGAGUACGGCCGCAAGGCUAAAACUCAAAGGAAUUGACGGGGGCCCGCACAAGCGGCGGAGCAUGUUGCUUAAUUCGAGGCAACGCGAAGAACCUUACCUGGGUUUGACAUGUAGAGAAAAGCCGUAGAGAUACGGUGUCCUUCGGGGUUCUACACAGGUGGUGCAUGGCUGUCGU
rnacentral:rRNA from 1 species